GCUAGUUAUGAACAAGUAAGGAUAGUCUUGGUCUUAAUAAUAUACAUAUUAUUCUUGAGGGGCCAAAUGUGUAAAGUGGCAAAACUUAAAACAUUAAAAGUAUAAAAAAAUUAAAAACACACAUAGAGUGUGCGUGUGUGUAUAUACGAUCGAUCAGGGACAGAGGGUGAGGUGAAACCCUAGUUUCACCAAAAUCCAUCAAAUUGAAGGGGGAUUGAAGGGCUAAACUAAUGUAUGAACCAAGAUUUUCGAUCACUUUAGCGUUUCUACCAUCAUGAACGUGUCAAGGAGAGGUCAAGCAUAGGAGGGUAACGGGUCAAGAUAAGGCAAGGUGACAAAUACACUUAUUGGAGUACUCGAGGUAUGGGAUCGUUGGCUUCAUGAAGAAAUGGAGCUGGAUUUGGAUAAGAGUAUUUAAGAAAGCGCUUGGACAAUUCCACGACUACUUUAUAGAAUGCUCUACGAAAUUCUAUUAUAUAGUUUAAUGUUGUAUGGUAUGUUAAUGACUAAUGGUUUGGUUGUACGUGGUGUCCACAGGUAUCGCUUGGGUUUUCUCUACAUUUAUUGAAGUGAAGCGGACUUAGUUCGAGUUGAGAGCAAGGAUUGUACGGGGUAGAAUGGUCACAUAGUGUAACUCAUAUAGGUUUUGAAGUAUUAAUGUUAUAAAACGUUAUAAAUCCGUUUUAAUGAAUAUAUGGCAUUUCGCAUUUGAACCUUCAUGUGUUUGAUAUGUCUAUUAAAGAACGAAAUUUUUGGGCU